AGUUACUGGAUUGGUAAUUUCAUAUGACGACUCGUCAAUGGCUUUUAUCCCUCCACAUUGAUUCUUCAACUGGCAACCCAUUCCUUCCGUCAACUCCUCCUCGAUCGUUGGAUUUACAGACCAUGUUUUCCACCAGGUAUAUUGCUUUGUUUCCUUCUUUAUCAUCCUAUCACUCUCCUUGUGUUGCUAAUCUUCGUUCCACAUUCACUGCCCUCAUCAAGUCAGAGAAAUAUAACGUGUCCACCCCUUUUUUUUAUCUUCAUAGCUCCAUGUUUAUACUCGAUCUUGAUUAAUGGUUAUAAUAAUGAGAUUGUUUUGUUGGGGUUAUUGGAGGCCAUGGAGGCAAAAAUGAAUUAUGAUGUUUACUUUUGGAAUUCCAAGGUUGAUCGAUAGUCACAAAAAGGAAUAAGAAAUUAUUUUUCCCCGUUUUGCUUUAGUUCUUGGUUGCUUACAUUCAACUUUUCUCCUAAGUCAAAGGUAACAAAAACAAUCACUUCACAUCGUUUCUCUUUAGACGUGGUUGUUUUCUUUGUAUAUGUAUAUUAUUACACUCUAGUAUUCAAGAAUCUUUACACUCCAUAUCAUACAACUAAAAGUGUUGUUUAUAUAUUUUAGGAACCAGAAGGUGGAUUGUUCGAUUCAAGAAUAUUUACAUUCCAUAUCAUAUACACAUUAUGUUUGUUGGCAUCUCAUCAAACAUUUACAAUCUUUUCAACACGACUAACAAUUUCCUCACCAUUGUUUUUGUUUUAUUCCAAAAAUUUUGAUAAUCGGAGCUACAAUAUAUAUCCAGUUUGUAGAUUUUGGGAUACAAAAGUUCAUAUUCUCUCUACUCUGAUGAAAUUUGAGGCUUGAAAUUUUGAAUAAUUAGCACCGGAAGACAAAUGUUUCAUUCUUUAAGAAUAUGAGAAUAUUCAGCAGCAAGCAUAUUAUUCUAUUAGAAUAUUCAAUAAGGAAUGUUAUAUUCUAAUAGAAUAACUACAACAAAACGCUAAGAUUUUGUUUAAGAAUAUUCUACAACAAAUGAUUUAUUGUGUAAGAAGGGGAUAUGAUUUUGUUAUUCUUUAAUAAUG
rnacentral:lncRNA from 1 species